CCCUUUUUCGUCUCUCAAAUCAAAAUCAAGCAAGAAAAACCCACUACCAAGAACACCCAAUAACACGAAAAAGGCCUUGCUUUUGACAUAAGCAAGAACCAGGAGAGAGGAAAUACCUCUCCUUUCUCCCUCUAACAAGGCGAGUAAGGAAACACCUGAUGGAAUCUCAGUCUCUCACUCCUUGUCCCUCUUCCUUGAAACAAAAACCCUAAAAAACUAAAAUCAAAAAAGAAAACCCAAAAUCCCACACUAGCCCCACUCUCUCUCCCCACUCUAAACAGUCAGUCAUACCUGUCGCCUUCAAUUGUGACUUUUGCACCACUAGCAACAUUCACUUCUCUUUUUUUCUAUAUAAAGAUUCGGUUUUUAUUUUUCAAAAAUGACUUCUUCUUCUUCUAUUAAGGAGACGACGGAGGAGGAACAGGUUGCGCCGGAUAUUGUGCCGGCUGACGGUGGUGUUGCUGGAGUGGAGAAGACUGAGCCUGUCAGCAGUGGCGGGGAGGAAGAGAGUGGUGGCGAGAAACUUGACGAUUCAAUGGAAGAGGACUCAGUGAGUCCGGCUACUGUGUUUUGUAUUAGGCUGAAGCAGCCACGGUCGAAUUUGCAGCAUAAAAUGAGUGUGCCUGAGCUUUGUCGCAAAUAUAGUGCUGUUGCUUGGUGUGGUAAGCUGAAUGCGAUAGCUUGUGCAUCAGAAACUUGUGCAAGAAUUCCCAGCUCCAAUGCAAACCCACCAUUUUGGAUCCCCAUACACGUGGUUAUCCCUGAGAGACCAACUGAAUGUGCAGUUUUCAAUGUCAUAGCAGAUUCUCCUCGUGAUUCUGUUCAGUUUAUCGAAUGGUCCCCUACUUCUUGCCCUCGUGCAUUAUUAAUAGCUAAUUUCCAUGGGAGGAUAACUAUCUGGACUCAACCUUCUCAAGGUCCAUCUAAUUUGGUGCGUGAUGCUAGCUGCUGGCAGCGUGAGCAUGAAUGGCGACAGGACAUUGCAGUUGUUACUAAAUGGCUAUCUGGGGUCUCUCCAUACAGGUGGCUUUCGUCAAAGUCCAGUACUCCCACAAACUCAAAGUCAGCUUUUGAGGAAAAAUUCCUUUCUCAGCAUUCUCAAACUUCAGCUAGAUGGCCAAAUUUCCUCUGUGUUUGUUCAGUUUUCUCAUCUGGUUCUGUUCAACUUCAUUGGUCCCAGUGGCCCCCAAGUCAGAAUAAUACAUCACCGAAGUGGUUUCGCACAAGCAAAGGACUCUUGGGUGCCGGCCCUAGUGGGAUUAUGGCUGCUGAUGCUAUUAUAACGGAUAGUGGUGCAAUGCAUGUUGCAGGUGUUCCGAUUGUAAACCCUUCAACUGUUGUUGUUUGGGAGGUUACUCCUGGCCCUGGAAAUGGAUUUCAAGCGACUCCGAUGGUGAGUGCUAGCAAUGGGGUCCCGCCUUCAGUCAAGCCUCCUAAUUGGUCUGGUUUUGCUCCUUUGGCUGCAUAUUUAUUCAGCUGGCAGGAGCAUCUGAUGUCUGAAGCAAUGCAAGGGAAAAAGCAUAUGGAUAAAGAUUUCGCUGACACUGUCUCACUUCAUUGUUCGCCAGUUUCAAAUUUUUCUGCGUAUGUGAGUCCUGAGGCUGCAGCUCAAUCUGCAGCAACUACCACUUGGGGUUCUGGAGUCAGUGCCGUUGCUUUUGAUCCGACUCGUGGUGGCUCUGUGAUUGCGGUUGUUAUAGUUGAGGGACAAUAUAUGUCCCCUUAUGAUCCAGAUGAGGGUCCUUUAAUCACGGGAUGGAGGGUGCAACGCUGGGAAUCAUCCCUUCAACCUGUCGUUCUUCAUCCAAUAUUUGGAAAUCCCACUUCUGGUUUUGGUGGGCAGGCACCCAUGCAAACUGUAUGGGUGUCCAAAGUGGAUACAAGCAUACCACCAACUAAUGAUUUUAAAAAUCUCCAAGCAGCUCCUGCAGUACCAAUCUCAGAUGCAAGAAAGGCAUCUGAUUCUGGUUCUGAGAAGACGAAAAGAGUCACCUUUGAUCCCUCUGAUCUGCCCAGCGAUGUGAGAACUCUUGCUCGAAUUGUUUAUUCUGCUCAUGGCGGCGAGAUUGCUAUUGCUUUUCUGCGGGGUGGAGUUCACAUUUUCUCUGGGCCAAACUUCACAGUUGUUGACAACUACCAGAUUAAUGUUGGAUCUGCAAUUGCUGCUCCUGCCUUCUCUUCCACAAGCUGCUGCUCAGCUUCAGUUUGGCAUGACACUAGCAAGGAUCGCACUGUAUUAAAGAUAAUUCGUGUUCUUCCUCCUGCUGUUCCAAGUAGUCAGGUGAAGGCUAACUCAGCAAUCUGGGAGCGUGCUAUUGCUGAAAGGUUUUGGUGGAGCCUUUUGGUUGGUGUUGAUUGGUGGGAUGCUGUUGGGUGUACACAGAGUGCUGCUGAGGAUGGCAUCGUUUCACUUAACAGUGUCAUUGCAGUCUUGGAUGCUGAUUUUCAUUCUCUUCCCUCUACACAGCACAGGCAGCAGUAUGGUCCUAGUCUGGACAGGAUAAAAUGUAGGCUACUGGAAGGUACAAAUGCUCAGGAGGUUAGGGCAAUGGUUCUUGACAUGCAAGCUAGGUUGCUGCUUGAUAUGCUCGGCAAAGGCAUUGAGUCAGCUUUGAUAAAUCCUUCAGCAUUAGUACCUGAACCAUGGCAGGCUUCUGGCGAGACAUUAUCUGGCAUUGAUCCUGAAGCAAUGACUGUUGAACCAAACCUUGUUCCGAGUAUUCAGGCUUAUGUUGAUGCAGUUCUUGAUCUAGCUUCACAUUUUAUCACACGUCUACGGCGUUAUGCAAGUUUCUGUCGCACACUGGCCAGUCACGCCGUUACAGCAGGCGCAGGCAGUAACCGCAAUACGGUGACUAGUCCUACUCAAAGUUCGGCAUCGCCCACACCAAAUCAGGGUGGUCAAAGUGGCGGUACAAGUUCUACUGGAAGCACUCAGAUGCAAGCUUGGGUACAAGGUGCCAUUGCUAAGAUUAGUAGCACAACUGAUGGAGUGUCCACUGCAACUUCAAACCCCAUAAGUGGUCCAUCUUCUUUCAUGCCAAUAAGCAUCAAUACUGGAACUUUUCCUGGAACCCCAGCAGUGAGGCUCAUCGGUGACUGCCAUUUCCUUCACAGAUUAUGCCAGCUUCUGCUUUUCUGUUUUUUCUUUCGGCGGCGAACUCAAGUACCUCGCUUUGCCGGAGGUACACAGAGAAAUCCCACUGAUACAAAUGCGCAAAAACUUCAGUCUGGUGCUCCUGGCAAGGUGGAGGAGAUCAACUCUGUUUCUUCAAAGCCAGCACCAGCUGCGGUUCGGUCGGAUGAAGGUCAGGCAGUUCGAGGUAGUCAGGUAGUGCCUGGAGCUAAAGCAGUCGAAGAGGGACCUGCUGGCAGGCACAGAGUAGGCAGUGGCAAUGCUGGCCAAGGAUACAGUUCUGAGGAGGUGAAGGUCCUUUUCCUCAUACUCAUGGAUCUGUGUCGGCGAACAGCAGCUCUGGUACACCCAUUGCCGGUUUCUCAAGUAGGAAGCAGCAAUAUCCAGGUGCGGUUGCAUUAUAUUGACGGCAAUUAUACUGUAUUGCCAGAGGUUGUAGAAGCAUCUCUUGGCCCGCAUAUGCAGAACAUGCCACGGCCCAGAGGUGCAGAUGCUGCUGGUCUGUUACUCCGAGAGUUAGAACUACACCCACCGUCUGAAGAGUGGCACAGGCGGAAUAUGUUUGGCGGACCCUGGUCUGAUCCAGAGGAUAUUGGUUCAGAGGAUACUUCUAAGCUUAACUCCACAAAUUCACUUGAUUUUAGCUCACUGGAAAAUUGUGAUGUUUAUUACGGAGCUCAUGGCCUUUGGCCGAGGAAGCGCAGACUGUCUGAAAGAGAUGCAGCUGUUGGCUUGAACACCUCUGCUGGCCUGGGAGCAUAUCUUGGCAUAAUGGGUUCUCGAAGAGAUGUUGUUACUGCAGUGUGGAAGACUGGUCUUGAAGGCGUUUGGUACAAGUGCAUAAGAUGUUUGCGGCAGACUUCAGCUUUGGCCUCCCCUGGUGCUGCAAAUCCACCAGAUCAAAAUGAAAGAGAGGCUUGGUGGAUCAGCCGUUGGGCCUAUGGCUGUCCGAUGUGUGGGGGGACAUGGGUUCGAGUUGUAUAGACGAGACUGCAAUCACAAAUGUUAAUUAGAUGGAGCUUUCCACUUUCAUGACAAUCAAAUCAAGGUGGUGCAUGCAUGACUGCAAUGUUAAUUAGCUGCGGCUUUCCACUUUCAUGACAAUCAAUUCAGGGCAAGCUCAUGCAGUAGCUGAUGUUGAAGAAAGCAGCACUCUUUGAUGGUAGUUUAUUUUAUGUUCCUUUUUGUAGUUGCUGGUUGGAGCUUGGAAGUAAAGAGGGGCCGUUAGCCUUGCAGAAGUGGAAAUUCGUCCGUUUGUCCUAUGCAUCAGCUGUCUGGUGCUUAGGUAACAGCGUUUAAGUUCCUCAGCUCGACAGCAACAGUUUUGGAAGGAAGGCUUGUGUUUUGGAAAAUGUUCAGGAGAGCUCCAUUAGUGAAGGUUCCCAGCAUUUCACAUAUAACAUUUCCUUUUCCCUUAGUGGAAGUAACAUUUCCUGUACAUUAUAGAUACGAGAAAUUGAUCAGGAUAGCAGGUGUGAAUGUAGUAGAUUCACGUCUGUUUGAGACAACAUUAAUCAUUUAUUAGUAUGAUGCCCUGGUUUUUCAA